AUUGAACGCUGGCGGCAUGCCUUACACAUGCAAGUCGAACGGUAACAGGUCUUCUGCUGCUGACUUGUGGCGCACGGGGGAGUAAUACAUCUAAACGUGCCCCAUCUUGUGGGGUAACGCAUCCAAAACUGUGCUAAUACCCCAUAAGAUCUACGGAUGAAAACAUGGGACCUCAACGCCUUGCGCGCCCUGAGCGGCCGCUUGCGGAUUAGGUAGUUGGUGGGAUAAAAGCUUACCAAGGCGACGAUCUGUAUCUGGUCUGAGAGGAUGACCAGCCACACUGGGACUGAGACACGGCCCAGACUCCUACGGGAGGCAGCAGUGGGGAAUUUUGGACAAUGGGCGAAAGCCUGAUCCAGCCAUGCCGCGUGUAGGAUGAAGGCCUUCGGGUUGUAAAGUGCUUUUGUACGGAAGGAAGAGAAUCUGGUUAAUACCUGGGGUCCAUGACGGUACCGUAAGAAUAAGCACCGGCUAACUACGUG
rnacentral:rRNA from 1 species